GACGAACGCUGGCGGCGUGCUUAACACAUGCAAGUCGAACGGAAAGGCCCUGCUUUUGUGGGGUGCUCGAGUGGCGAACGGGUGAGUAACACGUGAGUAACCUGCCCUUGACUUUGGGAUAACUUCAGGAAACUGGGGCUAAUACCGGAUAGGAGCUCCUGCUGCAUGGUGGGGGUUGGAAAGUUUCGGCGGUUGGGGAUGGACUCGCGGCUUAUCAGCUUGUUGGUGGGGUAGUGGCUUACCAAGGCAUUGACGGGUAGCCGGCCUGAGAGGGUGACCGGCCACAUUAGGACUGAGAUACGGACCAGACUCCUACGGGAGGCAGCAGUGGGGAAUAUUGCACAAUGGGCGGAAGCCUGAUGCAGCAACGCCGCGUGCGGGAUGACGGCCUUCGGGUUGUAAACCGCUUUCGCCUGUGACGAAGCGUGAGUGACGGUAAUGGGUAAAGAAGCACCGGCUAACUACGUG
rnacentral:rRNA from 1 species